rnacentral:rRNA from 1 species
AGGAGUUUGAUCCUGGCUCAGAUUGAACGCUGGCGGCAGGCUUAACACAUGCAAGUCGAGCGGGGGAAGUUGCUUCGGUAACUGACCUAGCGGCGGACGGGUGAGUAAUACUUAGGAAUCUGCCUAUUAAUGGGGGACAACAUCUCGAAAGGGAUGCUAAUACCGCAUACGCCCUACGGGGGAAAGCAGGGGAUCACUUGUGACCUUGCGUUAAUAGAUGAGCCUAAGUCGGAUUAGCUAGUUGGUGGGGUAAAGGCCUACCAAGGCGACGAUCUGUAGCGGGUCUGAGAGGAUGAUCCGCCACACUGGGACUGAGACACGGCCCAGACUCCUACGGGAGGCAGCAGUGGGGAAUAUUGGACAAUGGGGGGAACCCUGAUCCAGCCAUGCCGCGUGUGUGAAGAAGGCCUUAUGGUUGUAAAGCACUUUAAGCGAGGAGGAGGCUCUUCUAGUUAAUACCUAGGAUGAGUGGACGUUACUCGCAGAAUAAGCACCGGCUAACUCUGUGCCAGCAGCCGCGGUAAUACAGAGGGUGCGAGCGUUAAUCGGAUUUACUGGGCGUAAAGCGUGCGUAGGCGGCUUUUUAAGUCGGAUGUGAAAUCCCCGAGCUUAACUUGGGAAUUGCAUUCGAUACUGGGAAGCUAGAGUAUGGGAGAGGAUGGUAGAAUUCCAGGUGUAGCGGUGAAAUGCGUAGAGAUCUGGAGGAAUACCGAUGGCGAAGGCAGCCAUCUGGGCCUAAUACUGACGCUGAGGUACGAAAGCAUGGGGAGCAAACAGGAUUAGAUACCCUGGUAGUCCAUGCCGUAAACGA